rnacentral:rRNA from 1 species
UACGUAGGGUGCGAGCGUUAAUCGGAAUUACUGGGCGUAAAGCGUGCGCAGGCGGUUUGCUAAGACCGAUGUGAAAUCCCCGGGCUCAACCUGGGAACUGCGGUUGAAACUGGCGAACUAGAAUCUGGCAGAGGGGGGUGGAAUUCCACGUGUAGCAGUGAAAUGCGUAGAGAUGUGGAGGAACACCGAUGGCGAAGGCAGCCCCCUGGGCUGAGAUUGACGCUCAGGCACGAAAGCGUGGGGAGCAAACAGG